rnacentral:lncRNA from 1 species
ACACUGUGUCCUACUAGACUAGACAAGGCCCUCACUCAGCUAUUCCCAGCCAGCCACGGUGCUCAGGGUAGACCGCAGCACGCAUGGUGGACAGAGGGACAGAGGAUGAACGGAGAAGCACAGGGCUGGCUGCUGGGGACCUGGCAGAUGCUUCCUAUCCCUGCUGGCUGGUGACAUCACCGCUGUGACGUCACACUCUGGCUUCCUGGGCUUUGGGAGUGCUGGUUCUGGUGAUAACCACUUCCUGCUCCCGGCCAGGGUGACUCAGGACUUCCUUCUGCUCCCGGAGUCAUCACUGAGCCUGGCUCUCCUGUAUCCUCAUCUAGGGAGACCUUCUUUCUGCAGAGUGGGGCCUCCACAGUCUGCACAGCUCGGCUCCCCAUUCUCUCGUGAAGGUAGGCCAGGAACUGGGUUUCCUAAUGAGUGACCAGGAAAACGGAACUUUCAAGGGGCGUGUCUGUUUAAUGAGGAAUCAGCCUGAAUGGAAGCCAACCCAGUGCCUUUCCAGGUACAAGCUGUUGUCAUGAAGCCUGGAGUUUUUCCGAGAUGCCAGAGGCAGCAGCGCAGUGCUCUUGUUUCUCAUCUAAACCUGUCCCUUUCUCAGAACAGAGCCCGCGUGUGUGAUUCCUUCGUGGUCCCAGAGCGGGUCAUCUUGCUUGCAGGGUAGCCUUGGGGCACCACUGCUUGUCAGGGUUGAGCAGAAAGGCAGACCAGAAUCCUCUGAGUCCCCCUCCCACUUCCAGCUGGUUGACUGACAUUCCACCCGACCAGAAGGAACCAGAGGAGGAAGAAGGCCUGAGAAACUGGAGGGAGGCUGCUCAGGCGGUUCUGUAGAAUGUUCUAGAAUACCUAGAAAAAAAAAAAUAAAGCACCCAACAGGCUGAAGCAAGGAAAUUACUGUAGGUAGUGAGUUCUUGGCCAGCAUGGGCUACAUGGGUGUAACUCUGCAUAGAAUAACCAACCAACCAACCAACCACCAAGGCUGGAAAACUGGCUUGGCAGUUAAGGGCAAGUCCUGCUCUUGGAGAGGACCCAAGUUUAGUGCCCAGCAUCUACACCGGGUGGUUCACAACCACCUGCAUCUCUGGAGAACACAAAAACUUCUUUUUCGUGUGUGGUUUUGUUUGUUUGCUUGUUUGAGACAGGGUCUCCUUGUAGCCCACCUGUACUGGAAUUCACUCUGUAGACCAAGCUGGUCUAGAACUCAGAUUUGCCAGCCUCCUGAGUGCUGGGAUUAAAGGCAUGCGCCAGCACUGCCCAGCUUCGACAAUGUCUUUUGGCCUCCAUGAAUACUUUAAGUCAUAUGUGUGCACACACGAGAACACAUGUGCUCUUGCACAUACACACUCACACACACCAAUAAAAAUCUUAACAAGAAAAAACCAUCCCGAGCACUAAUUCUUAGGGCCUGGACUUUGGGUUGGGGAGCCAGGUUUGCACUGCAGCGGGGCUGGCCCUCACUUCCAGGCUGGGGAAGCUAUCCAGCUCUUCCAGCUUCUCCUCAAAUGGGCCACGGCCAUGGUAGAAGACAGACCUCCUUCAUGCAGCAGCACGGAAGCCAGCUCUGGAAACACCUACCCGGGGAAGGGAGGGAUCCAGCUCCAGGGGCUGCCUUAGGAAGGCAGGACGACUCGCCUGAGAUCACACAGGACCAUCAGGACCGUCGCAGGGUCUGUAGAUAUAUGUGUAUUUCUCCUGAAAUCGGGGAAAAUAAACUCAUUUUCUGAGG